rnacentral:sRNA from 2 species
UUAAAAGUUGUCUAGGGUUCCGAUGUUGAUCAACAUGACUGGUCCGAGAGAUAACGGUUCGACAGAACUACACGGAGGGAUAAAAGCCCGGGAGGU